rnacentral:rRNA from 1 species
UACGUAGGGUGCAAGCGUUGUCCGGAAUUAUUGGGCGUAAAGAGCUCGUAGGCGGUCUGUCGCGUCGGAUGUAAAAACCCAGGGCUCAACCCUGGGCCUGCAUUCGAUACGGGCAGACUAGAGUUCGGUAGGGGAGACUGGAAUUCCUGGUGUAGCGGUGAAAUGCGCAGAUAUCAGGAGGAACACCGGUGGCGAAGGCGGGUCUCUGGGCAGUAACUGACGCUGAGGAGCGAAAGCGUGGGGAGCGAACAGG